rnacentral:rRNA from 1 species
GACGUAGGGGGCCAGCGUUGUUCGGAAUUACUGGGUGUAAAGGGUUCGUAGGCGGUGCGGCAAGUUGGGAGUGAAAUCUCUGGGCUUAACCCAGAGGCUGCUUCCAAAACUGCUGUGCUUGAGUGUGGGAGAGGCGCGUGGAAUUGCAGGUGUAGCGGUGAAAUGCGUAGAUAUCUGCAGGAACACCCGUGGCGAAAGCGGCGCGCUGGACCACUACUGACGCUGAGGAGCGAAAGCUAGGGGAGCAAACGGG